rnacentral:rRNA from 1 species
UGGGGAAUCUUCCGCAAUGGACGAAAGUCUGACGGAGCAACGCCGCGUGAGUGAAGAAGGUUUUCGGAUCGUAAAACUCUGUCUUUUGGGGCGAACGUGAGUAUGGUGAACAAUCAUAGUCAGUGACGGUACCAAAGGAGGAAGCCACGGCUAACUACGUGCCAGCAGCCGCGGUAAUACGUAGGUGGCAAGCGUUGUCCGGAAUUAUUGGGCGUAAAGAGCGCGUAGGCGGGAUAGUCAGUCUGUUGUAAAAGUGCGGGGCUCAACCCCGUGAUGGCAAUGGAAACAGCUAUUCUUGAGUGCAGGAGAGGAAAGUGGAAUUCCCAGUGUAGCGGUGAAAUGCGUAGAUAUUGGGAGGAACACCAGUGGCGAAGGCGACUUUCUGGACUGUGUCUGACGCUGAGGCGCGAAAGCCAGGGGAGCGAACGGGAUUAGAUACCCCGGUAGUCCUGGGCCGUAAACGAUGGGUACUAGGUGUGGGGGGUAUCGACCCCUUCCGUGCCGGAGUUAACGCAAUAAGUACCCCCGCCUGGGGAGUACGGUCGCAAGACUGGAAACUUAAAUGAAUUCGACGGGGGUCAUAGCUGUUUCCU